rnacentral:lncRNA from 1 species
GCACCAGGUAGGGCCCCAGGGAGGAGACUGGGCUUGGUUCUGAUUUAACUCAUGAGAAAUACCAGGAAGUUCUGAGGAAGAUGAAAGAGGAAAAGGAGACGCUGCUUCUUGAAAAACAAAUAUCCAAAGCCCAGGAUGACUCCUCUCAAACAGUGAAACCGGGAUCAAUUUUGGCAGACACCACCCAAAGAAACAUGGCCAGUUUUUCCUAUUCCAAACCUGGGUUUUCCUCUAUCCCUUCCCUCUCCUAGCUUCUCUCUCUCUCUCUCUCUCUCUCUCUCUCUCUCUCUCUCUCUCUCUCUCCCUCCUCUUUAAUAAUCCUAUAAUUAGGAAAUAAUGAGGUUUAGUUCCUACCCCACACCAUGGAAGCUAGGAGGUGGCAGAGCCAGAAUUCAAACCCAGGCAUCCUGACUCCAGGGUCUCUGCUAUUCUGCCUCUCUGUGAACACACGAAAAGCCAUAGCUGUGAUUUUUCAUUGCUUCCCACAGGAGAGGACCACCAUUAAGAAACAGGAGAGAAGGUGUUGGUACAAGUAAGCGGAAGAAUCUUGCUUUUACCUAGCCUAGACCACAUUUCACUCUACACAUUACCUGAUAAGGGCCAAAAGAACAAGAAUAAACACAUCAUCCACUGAUCAGAAUACAUAAGGCAGCCCCAAAUUUCUCCCAACCAUUCUUACUUUUCUCAAUGCAGAAUUAUAACACCAGAGUUAAACAGCAGCUAUAAAUAGCUGGAGAAAUGUGUGGCUAUUUCUGAGAAAUUUGGGAUAAAGAUGUAGGUUGCAUUUAACUUUUAAUUUUCAUUCUUAUGAUCCUAGGUAUAGCACCUUUCCAUUUUUUCAAGUCCUGAGCUUGAUUACCUCUGUGAUAUUCCUUGUUGGGAAAAAAGUUCAGAGUGCAUUAAUUUUCUUAGUUAUCUUCAUGCUUAGAAAUUUUAGAAAAAAGAUCCUUAAACUCUCUGUGCCUUUGCUUUUUUAAUUUUUGAAACAAGAAUAUUGACCCUGAAGAGCUUCAAGUGGCACUUUAAUAAAAAGCCCCAUUCCCUACUUUCCCCUAUCAACUUUGCCUGAAGAAAGCAAUUCACCAGCCAUUUAUGACUGUGAGGUUUGCCUUUCACUGCUUGACCUCGGGCUGUCUUUUUUCUCAUGCAAAUAAUGAACAUCUCUUUGCAGGUAUUUCCAGUAUCUCACCUUCAUGGUCUUAGUCUUUAUUAGGUUGCUGGCUUAUGUGAUUUUCCACCUGCAGUACAUAAACCCAGAUCUUCUCGUGGAUGUCCUGCCCCUGGUGCUGAGCAGGGGCACCUUGGAGAGUCUGAGGAAGGUCUCACAUCCCUUCCUCACUCUAGCAGUGGAAGAAGCACUACCACACUAGUCUGGGGUGACCUGGGGGCAUCACCCCACACCUGAGUGGAGGUGACCGUGGCUGUGGCCCCAUGUUGGGGAUGGCCAGGAAGGAUGUGGAAGCCUUUGACUCAGAGCCGCUACUUGACAUCUGAGUUUUUCAUUUCAUUCUUUCCCUGCUUUCCCUCUGGAAUGUCUCUCUUUCAAAUAAAGAAUAUGUUUGACGAGA